AGAGUUUGAUUCUGGCUCAGAACGAACGCUGGCGGCAGGCUUAACACAUGCAAGUCGGACGAUGUAGCAAUACAUAGUGGCGCACGGGUGAGUAACGCGUGGGAAUAUGCCCUUUAGUACGGAAUAACACCGGGAAACUGGUGCUAAUACCGUAUACGCCCUUCGGGGGAAAGAUUUAUCGCUAAAGGAUUAGCCCGCGUGAGAUUAGGUAGUUGGUGGGGUAAUGGCCUACCAAGCCUACGAUCUCUAGCUGGUCUGAGAGGAUGAUCAGCCACACUGGAACUGAGACACGGUCCAGACUCCUACGGGAGGCAGCAGUGGGGAAUAUUGGACAAUGGGCGCAAGCCUGAUCCAGCCAUGCCGCGUGUGUGAUGAAGGCCUUAGGGUUGUAAAGCACUUUUGUCAGGGAAGAUAAUGACGGUACCUGAAGAAUAAGCACCGGCUAACUUCGUGCCAGCAGCCGCGGUAAUACGAAAGGUGCUAGCGUUGUUCGGAAUCACUGGGCGUAAAGCGCGCGUAGGCGGCGUAACAAGUCAGGGGUGAAAGCCUGGAGCUCAACUCCAGAAUUGCCCUUGGAACUGUUAUGCUUGAGUGUCGGAGGGGAUAGCGGAAUUGCUAAUGUAGAGGUGAAAUUCGUAGAUAUUAGCAGGAACACCGGUGGCGAAGGCGGCUAUCUGGACGACAACUGACGCUGAGGCGCGAAAGCGUGGGGAUCAAACAGGAUUAGAUACCCUGGUAGUCCACGCUGUAAACGAUGGGUGCUAGCCGUUGGGGGGAUACCUCUCAGUGGCGCAGCUAACGCGUUAAGCACCCCGCCUGGGGAGUACGGUCGCAAGAUUAAAACUCAAAGAAAUUGACGGGGACCCGCACAAGCGGUGGAACAUGUGGUUUAAUUCGAGGCAACGCGAAGAACCUUACCAGGGCUUGACAUGCCUCUCAUAGGAUCCCCAAAAGGAUCCGUCAGUUCGGCUGGAGAGUGCACAGGUGCUGCAUGGCUGUCGUCAGCUCGUGUCGUGAGAUGUUGGGUUAAGUCCCGCAACGAGCGCAACCCUCAUCCUCUGUUGCUAACGCGUAAUGGCGAGAACUCUGAGGAAACUGCCGGUGAUAAGCCGGAGGAAGGUGGGGAUGACGUCAAGUCCUCAUGGCCCUUACGCCCUGGGCUACACACGUGUUACAAUGGCAGUGACAAUGGGAAGCUAACCCGCGAGGGUACGCAAAUCCCCAAAAGCUGCCUCAGUUUGGAUCGUACUCUGCAACUCGAGUACGUGAAAUUGGAAUCGCUAGUAAUCGUAGAUCAGCAUGCUACGGUGAAUACGUUCCCGGGUCUUGUACACACCGCCCGUCACACCAUGGGAGUUGGUUCUACCUUAAGCCGCUGCGCUAACCGCAAGGAAGCAGGCGACCACGGUAGGGUCAGUGACUGGGGUGAAGUCGUAACAAGGUAGCCGUAGGGGAACCUGCGGCUG
rnacentral:rRNA from 1 species